AGGCUGCAACUCGCCUACACGAAGCUGGAAUCGCUAGUAAUCGCGGAUCAGCACGCCGCGGUGAAUACGUUCCCAGGUCUUGUACACACCGCCCGUCACACCAUGGGAGUCGGAAAUGCCCGAAGUCAGUGACCCAACCGUAAGGAGGGAGCUGCCGAAGGUGGAGCCGGUAACUGGGGUGAAGUCGUAACAAGGUAGC
rnacentral:rRNA from 1 species